rnacentral:snRNA from 1 species
GUACUUUCUUCGGCAGUACAUGUACUAAAAUUGGAAUGAUACUGAGCUGCGAGUUCUGUAUAUGUGAUCGAAGAUACUGAGGUAAUCUUAGCAUGGCCACCGCGCAAGGAUGACACGCAAAAUCGUGAAGCUCUCCACAUUUUU